AUUUUUGCAGGUCUGCCUGUCCGUUGGGGAUGGAGGUCGACAUAUAUAGGAGUCUCCCUAACAACAAGUAGUAAUGCUAUUCCUUUACCCUGCUUGGUCAUAGCACGGUAGUGGGAGCUGCCAGUUUCACAUAUUUUAACUCUGUCAGAGCACUUUGAAAAAGUGGUCUGUGGUAUCUGGCUCUCGAGAUUCGGAAAACGAUGCCUCUUCGAUUUUUGAGAAAGCAAUCAUGCUGGGGGUCUGGCUCUCGAAAUUCGGAGAGCAGUGUCUCUUCGAUUUUUGAGGAAGUAAUCAUGUUAGGAGUCUGGCUCUUGAGAUUCGGAGGGCGGUGCCUCUUCGAUUUUGGAGCAAGCAAUCCUAUUGGGAGUGUUGUCUCGAAUGUGAGUAAAGGUUGGGCAUGUUUGCUAGUCUACCUUGCCACGAAGCACAAAGGUUGACACACAGGGACUUUCCAAUUAUCCAGCAAUGGUACUGUUCCUUUACCCUCUCUUUGCUUUUGAGAAAAUAGUCAUGUUGGGAGUCUGGCUCUCGAGAUUCGGAGGACGGUGCCUCUUCGAUUUUGGAGCAAGCAAUCUUAUUGGGAGUGUUUUCUCGAAUGUGAGUAAAGGUUGGGCAUGUUUUGCUAGUCUACCUUGCCACGAAGCACAGAGGUUGACACACAGGGACUUUCCAAUUAUCCAGCAGUGGUACUGUUCCUUUACCCUUAUGGGUAAUAAUAUGGUAGCUAGACCUUCAAAAUUUAUGUGUCUAAACUUUGUUAGUGCUGUUUCUUUGCUAUUCUUUUACCUUUCUUGGUCAGAGCGAUGUAGUGGGAGCUGCAAGCUUCACGUGCUCAACUUUGGCAGAGAACUUUGGCAAAGUUAUCUGUGGUACCCAUGAGCUAUUGUUGCGUGUGACAGGUGCUGACAAGGCUAGAAAAGUAGGUGCCUCUUCGAUUUCUGAGAUCGGCCCUCGUGGUCUCUGAGCAGCCCAGCUUUUGAGAAAGCGAGCGCCUCUUCGAUUGAUUCGGAGAACGAUGCCUCAUCGAUUUUUGAGAAAGCAAUCAUGCUGGGGGUCUGGCUCUUGAAGAUUCGGGAAGCAGUGUCUCUUCGAUUUUUGAGAAAGUAAUCAUGUUGGGAGUCUGGCUCUCGAGAUUCGGAGGGCGGUGCCUCUUCGAUUUUGGAGCAAGCAAUCUUGUUGGGAGUGUUUUCUCGAAUGUGAGUAAAGGUUGGGCAUGUUUGCUAGUCUACCUUGCCACGAAGCACAGAGGUUGACACACAGGGACUUUCCAAUUAUCCAGCAAUGGUACUGUUCCUUUACCCUCUCUUCG
rnacentral:lncRNA from 1 species